UCGAACAGGAUUAGAUACCCUGAUAGUCCACACCGUAAACGUUGGGCGCUAGGUGUGGGACUCAUUCCACGAGUUCCGUGCCGCAGCUAACGCAUUAAGCGCCCCGCCUGGGGAGUACGGCCGCAAGGCUAAAACUCAAAGGAAUUGACGGGGGCCCGCACAAGCGGCGGAGCAUGUUGCUUAAUUCGAUGCAACGCGAAGAACCUUACAAUCACUAGUGCGGCCGCCUGCAGGUCGACCAUAUGGGAGAGCUCCCAACGCGUUGGAUGCAUAGCUUGAGUAUUCUAUAGUGUCACCCUAAAUA
rnacentral:rRNA from 1 species